GGCUCAGAACGAACGUUGGCGGCGUGGAUUAGGCAUGCAAGUCGAACGAAUCCCAGUCUUGUAGCAAUACCGGGCUGGGGGAAGUGGCGAAAGGGGCAGUAAGGCAUGGGUAAUCUACCCCAGGGACGUGGAUAGCCAUUCUAACGAGUGGGUAAUACGCGGCGAUUCAGCGGAGGGGCAUCUCUCUGCUGGGAAAUGAAUUUCGCCUUGGGAGGAGCUCAUGUGAUAUUAGCUAGUUGGUGGGGUAACGGCCCACCAAGGCAAAGAUGUCUAGCGGGUGUGAGAGCACGACCCGCGCCACUGGCACUGAGACACUGGCCAGACACCUACGGGUGGCUGCAGUCGAGGAUCUUUGGCAAUGGGCGAAAGCCUGACCAAGCGACGCCGCGUGUGCGAUGAAGGCCUUCGGGUUGUAAAGCACUGUCGAGGGGGACGAAGCCGCAAGGUUGACCGAUCCCUGGAGGAAGCUCGGGCUAAGUUCGUGCCAGCAGCCGCGGUAAGACGAACCGAGCGAACGUUGUUCGGAAUCACUGGGCUUAAAGGGCGCGUAGGCGGCUUGCCAAGUCGGUGGUGAAAUCCUGCAGCUUAACUGUAGAAGUGCCUCCGAUACUGGCGAGCUUGAGGGAGGUAGGGGUCUUUGGAACUUCUGGUGGAGCGGUGAAAUGCGUUGAUAUCAGAAGGAACGCCGGUGGCGAAAGCGAAGGACUGGACCUCUUCUGACGCUGAGGCGCGAAAGCUAGGGGAGCGAACGGGAUUAGAUACCCCGGUAGUCCUAGCCCUAAACGAUGGGUACUAGAUUGUAGACUAAUUAUGGGUUUACAGUCGAAGCAAAAGUUCUAAGUACCCCGCCCUGGGGAGUAUGGUCGCA
rnacentral:rRNA from 1 species